GAACGGGUGAGUAACGCGUGAGGAACCUGCCUCAAAGAGGGGGACAACAGUUGGAAACGACUGCUAAUACCGCAUAAGCCCACGGGUCGGCAUCGACCAGAGGGAAAAGGAGCAAUCCGCUUUGAGAUGGUCUCGCGUCCGAUUAGCUAGUUGGUGAGGUAAUGGCCCACCAAGGCGACGAUCGGUAGCCGGACUGAGAGGUUGAACGGCCACAUUGGGACUGAGACACGGCCCAGACUCCUACGGGAGGCAGCAUG
rnacentral:rRNA from 1 species